GAUGAACGCUGGCGGCGUGCCUAAUACAUGCAAGUCGAGCGAACGGACGAGAAGCUUGCUUCUCUGAUGUUAGCGGCGGACGGGUGAGUAACACGUGUAUACCCUACCUAUAAGACUGGGAUAACUUCGGGAAACCGGCGCUAAUACCGUAUGAUAUUUUGAACCGCAUGGUUCAAAAGUGAAAGACGGUCUUGCUGUCACUUAUAGAUGGAUCCGCGCUGCAUUAGCUAGUUGGUAAGGUAACGGCUUACCAAGGCAACGAGGCAUAGCCGACCUGAGAGGGGGAUAGGCCACAUGGGAAGUGGGACAGGGACAAUAGUACUGAGGGAGGCACCAGUAGGGAACGGGACGCAAUGGGCGAAAGUCUUACGGAGCAGGGCCGAGUGAGUUAUGACGGCGUUGGGAUCGUAAAACUCUCUUAUUAGGGAAGAACAGAUGUGUAAGUAACUGUGCACAGCUUGACGGUACCUAAUCAGAAAGCCACGGCUAACUACGUG
rnacentral:rRNA from 1 species